AUACUUAACCUGGAAGAGGAGAUACCACAAUCACAAAGGCAGUUUUCCCAGAGUGAGGCUUAUGCACUGCACUCUGGAUGUGCUGACCCCUGCGAUUUCCCCCAAAUAAACUCAACUGCACAAUUUGUGGUAGUGGGGGACUGCAUUCACACUCUUCCCCC